AUUGAACGCUGGCGGCAUGCCUCACACAUGCAAGUCGAACGGCAGCACGGGAGCAAUCCUGGUGGCGAGUGGCGAACGGGUGAGUAAAGUAUCGGAACGUGCCCAGUCGUGGGGGAUAACGUAGCGAAAGUUACGCUAAUACCGCAUACGAUCUAUGGAUGAAAGCGGGGGAUCGCAAGACCUCGCGCGAUUGGAGCGGCCGAUAUCAGAUUAGGUAGUUGGUGGGGUAAAGGCUCACCAAGCCGGCGAUCUGUAGCUGGUCUGAGAGGACGACCAGCCACACUGGGACUGAGACACGGCCCAGGCUCCUACGGGAGGCAGCAGUGGGGAAUUUUGGACAAUGGGCGAAAGCCUGAUCCAGCCAUGCCGCGUGCAGGAUGAAGGCCUUCGGGUUGUAAACUGCUUUUGUACGGAACGAAAAGGUUUGGCCUAAUAAGCUGAGCUCAUGACGGUACCGUAAGAAUAAGCACCGGCUAACUACGUGCCAGCCGCCGCAGUAA
rnacentral:rRNA from 1 species